rnacentral:rRNA from 1 species
UACGUAGGGUGCAAGCGUUGUCCGGAAUUUAUUGGGCGUAAAGAGCUCGUAGGCGGUUUGUCGCGUCUAUCGUGAAAGUCCGAGGCUCAACCUCGGAUCUGCGGUGGGUACGGGCAGACUAGAGUGAUGUAGGGGGAGACUGGAAUUCCUGGUGUAGCGGUGAAAUGCGCAGAUAUCAGGAGGAACACCGAUGGCGAAGGCAGGUCUCUGGGCAUUAACUGACGCUGAGGAGCGAAAGCAUGGGGAGCGAACAGG